rnacentral:rRNA from 1 species
GACGAACGCUGGCGGCGUGCCUAACACAUGCAAGUCGAGCGGAGACAGUGAGUAGCUUGCUACGAGCUGUUUUAGCGGCGGACGGGUGAGUAACGCGUGAGCAACCUUUCCCAGACAGGGGAAUAACACACCGAAAGGUGUACUAAUACCGCAUAAGACCACGGGAUCACAUGGUUCUGGGGUAAAAGAUUUAUCGGUUUGGGGUGGGCUCGCGUCCGAUUAGGUAGUUGGUGAGGUAACGGCCCACCAAGCCGACGAUCGGUAGCCGACCUGAGAGGGUGAUCGGCCACAUUGGGACUGAGACACGGCCCAAACUCCUACGGGAGGCAGCAGUGGGGAAUAUUGGGCAAUGGAGGAAACUCUGACCCAGCAACGCCGCGUGGAGGAAGAAGGUUUUCGGAUCGUAAACUCCUGUCCUUGGAGACGAGUAGAA